GAAUCGUGUUUGCAAAAGAUUGCGCAAAUUCUCCACCAGUUUUAGGAUAUUCGAUUAUUCGAACCUGUUUGUGCUGAUACGGACUAAAAUUUGC
rnacentral:tRNA from 1 species